rnacentral:pre_miRNA from 1 species
AAAAUACUUCCUCCGUCCCAUGUUAAGUUACUUUCUAUUACAUGUAUGUAGACGCUUUUUAGGCAUAUGUACAUUCAUAAUUUGGCAAAUUUGAGUCACUUAAUAUGGGACGGAGGGAGUAUAUU